AAAACGACUCUCGGCAACGGAUAUCUCGGCUCUCGCAUCGAUGAAGAACGUAGCGAACUGCGAUACUUGGUGUGAAUUGCAGAAUCCCGUGAACCAUCGAGUCCUUGAACGCAAGUUGCGCCCGAAGCCAUUAGGCCGAGGGCACGUCUGCCUGGGCGUCACGC
rnacentral:rRNA from 1 species